UGAAUUGACGGGACCCGCACAAGCGGUGGAUGAUGUGGUUUAAUUCGAUGCAACGCGAAAACCUUACCCACCUUUGACAUGUACGGAAGCCUUUAGAGAUAGAGGCGUGCUCGAAAGGGAGCCGUAACACAGGUGCUGCAUGGCUGUCGUCAGCUCGUGUCGUGAGAUGUUGGGUUAAGUCCCGCAACGAGCGCAACCCUUGUCAUUAGUUGCUACAUUCAGUUGGGCACUCUAAUGAGACUGCCGGUGACAAGCCGGAGGAAGGUGGGGAUGACGUCAAGUCCUCAUGGCCCUUAUAGGUGGGGCUACACACGUCAUACAAUGGCUGGUACAAAGGGUUGCCAACCCGCGAGGGGGAGCUAAUCCCAUAAAGCCAGUCGUAGUCCGGAUCGUAGUCUGCAACUCGACUACGUGAAGUCGGAAUCGCUAGUAAUCGUGGAUCAGAAUGUCACGGUGAAUACGUUCCCGGGUCUU
rnacentral:rRNA from 1 species